GAAUUGUAGUUUAUAGAAGCGUUUUCGGUGGCAGCCUGGGUAUAAAUCCUUUGGAAUAGGGUAUCAUAGAGGGUGAGAAUCCCGUCUUUGACUCAGUGCAUGCUACUAUGUGAUACGUUUUCAAAGAGUUGAGUUGUUUGGGAAUGCAGCUCAAAAUGGGUGGUAAAUUUCAUCUAAAGCUAAAUAUUGGCGAGAGACCGAUAGCGAACAAGUACCGUGAGGGAAAGAUGAAAAGAACUUUGAAAAGAGAGUUAAACAGUGCGUGAAAUUGUUGAAAGGGAAACGCUUGACACCAGUCAUGCGAGUGGAAAAUCAGUCUUUUGCAGUGGGGAGUUGUGGGCGUUCAGACCGCAAGGCUGGCGUUUGCUUCAUCUUUGUUGUAAGUGAUGCACUUUUUCAUUUGCAGGUCAACAUCAGUUUGCUUUGCUGGACAAAACCCCAAGGGAAGGUGGCAGCUUAGGCUGUGUUAUAGCCCUGGGGCGAUACAGUGGAGUGGACUGAGGUUUUCGCAGUGUGUGCUCUCUGGGCAAGGCUGACUGGGUGCUAUGGGAUCGUUCGGCGUACAAUGCAUGCAUUUUGCGCCGUGUCUUUUUCAUACUCGCUCAACUCGGCUCUUCCACACUUAGGAUGUUGACUUAAUGGUUUUAAUCGACCCGUCUUGAAACACGGACCAAGGAGUCUAACAUAUAUGCAAGUGUUUGGGUGGCAAACCCAUGCGCGUAAUGAAAGUGAACGUAGGUGCCAUCCGCAAGGUGCAGCAUCGACCGAUCUUGAUAUUUUUGGAUAGAUUUGAGUAAGAGCAUAUAUGCUGGGACCCGAAA
rnacentral:rRNA from 1 species